rnacentral:rRNA from 1 species
UACGUAGGGCGCAAGCGUUGUCCGGAAUUAUUGGGCGUAAAGAGCUCGUAGGCGGUCUGUCGCGUCUGGUGUGAAAUCCCAUGGCUCAACUGUGGGCGUGCAUCGGGUACGGGCAGACUAGAGUGCGGUAGGGGAGACUGGAAUUCCUGGUGUAGCGGUGGAAUGCGCAGAUAUCAGGAGGAACACCGAUGGCGAAGGCAGGUCUCUGGGCCGCAACUGACGCUGAGGAGCGAAAGCAUGGGGAGCGAAC